rnacentral:lncRNA from 1 species
UUAAAGGCAACGCAUUAAGAACUCACACCAGAGAUUACUGGAUGAAGAAGACGAUGAACCAGAUGAAGUUCUACAUAAAAGAACAUUGAGAGCGCCUAGACAUCGUCAACAAAGAUACUAGAUCUUAUUUUAUAAAAAAUUUAAAGCUUUGAAAAAACCAAGUGAUAUGUGACAAGUUUGUAUACAUCAAGAUAAGAAUAAAAUUCUUCGGUUUUCAACUGUUGCGUUCAUGGAAUAUCAAAAAACAUAUUAUGUUUUCCCGGAAUGUUUGCUAGUGACAACAAUAAGAAAACUUUACGCCUUGAAGUUGGCAUCGAAGUGCAGAUAACGCAGUUGCCGUUGUACAAAUAACCACUUUUUUAUUUAAACUACCUGAUUUUACUUUUUAAAGAUGAUUUCGAAUUGUAAUUUAAUUACAUCGUUCGCUCGUUUUGUUCAGUUAGAAAUUUAUUUUUAUACUAUAUAGAAACAUAUUUUUUAACAUGCACCUCUUGUAAAUAUGAUAUAAAAUGUAUGAAAUU